CACGUAGGGGGCGAGCGUUGUCCGGAUUUAUUGGGCGUAAAGAGCUCGUAGGUGGCUCGGUAAGUCGGGUGUGAAAUUUCGAGGCUCAACCUCGAGACGCCACCUGAUACUGCUGUGGCUAGAGUCCGGUAGGGGAGCGUGGAAUUCCUGGUGUAGCGGUGAAAUGCGCAGAUAUCAGGAGGGACACCAGCGGCGAAGGCGGCGCUCUGGGCCGGUACUGACACUGAGGAGCGAAAGCGUGGGGAUCAAACAGG
rnacentral:rRNA from 1 species